rnacentral:rRNA from 1 species
UACGGGGGGAGCAAGCGUUGUUCGGAUUUACUGGGCGUAAAGGGCGCGUAGGCGGCCACCGCAAGUCAGUUGUGAAAGCUCUGGGCUUAACCCAGAAAGGUCAACUGAUACUGCGGGGCUAGAGUGCAGAAGGGGCAACUGGAAUUCUCGGUGUAGCGGUGAAAUGCGCAGAUAUCAGGAGGAACACCGGUGGCGAAGGCGGUAGUCUGGGCCGGCACUGACGCUGAGGAGCGAAAGCGUGGGUAGCAAACAGG